UUCCUGCUGAGGAGUUUCUGAAGAAACACAGGCCUGAACUCAUUCAGCGAGCCAAAAACCCAAAGCCAAUAGCAGAUGUUCUGCGGUCAAAGGRCAUGAUUGGUGAUGAAGAGUACUCCAGAAUAACAGCUGAAACAACUGAACAGGAGCGAAUGAGAGAACUACUGAAUGCAGUCCUCCCUAAAGGAYCAGAAGUGAUGGGAGCUUGUCUCAAAGCUCUCAGUGAACAUGAACACCAUCUUGUAAAGUACUUGAGUGAAUCUAGCACCUAAUCUGAAGAUGCUGAGGGCUGUCUCCUAGUCUGUGGACAAAGACACUUCUCCACCUAAUCUGAAGAUGCUGAGGCCUGUCUCCUAGUCUGUGGACAAAGACACUUCUUCACCUAAUCUGAAGAUGCUGAGGCCUGUCUCCUAGUCUGUGGACAAAGACACCUACAUGAUUGUAAGGGAAGAACCCCCUGAAAUGGACAAAAAUGAAUGGGAACAUAUUGGCACUGUACGAAACAUAUACACAGUGUCCAAUACCACUCAAAUGUUCGGCAUUUCAUUCAAAGUUUAUGGCAAAUGUCAUAUGGCAGAUGGCAAGUGUCAUACAGCAAAAAUCCAAAAGAUGGCGAGCGCACUCCACCGUAGGUUUUCAUAUUGCAAAUGCACAUCAAGUUAAGACCCAAUAGUCAAAUUUGAAAAAUGUGGGAAAAAAAAUCAAAGACGUAUCACCCCCCUAAAAAACUGCUUUCUGGACAGUUUUUCAAAUAUCUUUAGAUUUUUUUUGUCGAUUAUACAUGUAUAUGAUCUGUAUAAACAUACUUUUGUCAUAUUUUAUUGUCAUAAUAAAAUAUAAUCAUAAUAAAUAAAACAAUUUUACUUGUCCAUAAGGCAUAUGUUUUGUCCAUUCGCAAUAUGAUUUCAUAGGUGGUCAAAAGUCAGUCAAAAGUCAGUGAACCAUUGCCAAAUGCAAUAAGAAGUGUCCAAAUGCAAUAUGAAAGUAUUGAAAGUGCCCAAUCAGGAUGUUAUGUCCAUUUGCCUGUAUGAUCAUAGGAAGUCGGUUUCCAAACCCAAAAGUCAGUGAACCAUGUCCAAAUGGCAUUUAUACUGCCCAAAUUAUAUAUAGCACUAUGUUAAGCCAUGAAUCAACCUAGAUGGUCUAUUUGUCAUGUAUGAUGAGGGAGAAGUGGGACUCUGUUGUUUUUUAA